AUUGAACGCUGGCGGCAGGCCUAACACAUGCAAGUCGAACGGUAACAGGAAGCAGCUUGCUGCUUUGCUGACGAGUGGCGGACGGGUGAGUAAUGUCUGGGAAACUGCCCGAUGGAGGGGGAUAACUACUGGAAACAGUAGCUAAUACCGCAUAACGUCGCAAGACCAAAGAGGGGGACCUUAGGGCCUCUUGCCAUCGGAUGUGCCCAGAUGGGAUUAGCUAGUAGGUGGGGUAACGGCUCACCUAGGCGACGAUCCCUAGCUGGUCUGAGAGGAUGACCAGCCACACUGGAACUGAGACACGGUCCAGACUCCUACGGGAGGCAGCAGUGGGGAAUAUUGCACAAUGGGCGCAAGCCUGAUGCAGCCAUGCCGCGUGUAUGAAGAAGGCCUUCGGGUUGUAAAGUACUUUCAGCGGGGAGGAAGGGAGUAAAGUUAAUACCUUUGCUCAUUGACGUUACCCGCAGAAGAAGCACCGGCUAACUCCGUG
rnacentral:rRNA from 1 species